GUACUCGACAAUGCUAACAUUUUGAUAUGUCAUAAUGUUAUGUUACUAUGAGUGUCACAUAUUUGGCUUAAAGAUUAAAGUCCAUUGCUUUGAUUGUUGUUGUAGAUAUGACAUGGUGUGUGUCAAACAUUUCACUGAUCUUGAGAGGUCUUGGGGGAAACUUGUUCUCAAGGGACAAGUCUUUGGGUUAAGUUAGGUGUAGGUCCAAUAGUGAAAUGUCUUAGUCACAACUUGUUAUUAAAGUAAAGAUGUCAUGAAUUACUAGGUGAUUGACGGUACAUGUUCGUAUCUUACCUUUUGCUAAGAGAAGACGCAGCGGGAGUUUUGAGACUGUUUGGGUGAUGAAAACAGAGUAAAGAAUGUGGAUUGCUUAGGUCCAGCAACGCAGCAAGAAGACGUUUGAAAUAAGGAACACACAAGACUAUUUGGGUGAAGAAAACAGAGUAAAGAAUGUGGAUUGCUUAGGUCCAGCAACACAGCAAGAAAACUUUGAAAUAAGGAACACACAAGAUCUCAUAUAUAUAAUUGUCUACCGUUGGAUUUGAAAGCAAAUGCAACACCAACAGCUGCUGACGCAUGGCCAUGUUCCCACCCAUUUGCACUAGCCGGAGGAACGCGCUAUAUGCAUGCCCUCAUUUGUUCGUCCACGCUACGCGCUCCAUCCCUCGUAUCGUCCCGCCUCCCUUAUUAUCUUCACGUGGCUGAUAUAUGCAUGGGCCCCACGAUACGGGCUGACAUGGCAAACGAAGGUCUGGGUCUUUAAAACGAAGGUCUAGGUCAUGGGUCUAACCCAGAUAAUGACCCAGGUGAAAGAAAUUUUAUGGGUGGAAAGAUGUUUUUUCUGGCUGGGUCUUCAUUUGAUAUGGCGAAGACCUAGGUCUAGGUCUUGUUUUUGAGGUUGGGGAGGACUUGCUCUAACUCCAUAGCUGCAGAUGUAUCAUAUUUGUACCAAUACAUGUAGCACAAGAUAUGUGGUUGUCAAUUAACCUUCAGAGCAAUAGCGGAAGUAUCAGUGUGAGGUUUCUGCUUGUGAGCUCUGCAUGCUAACACUUAGUCAACUGUUGAGGACGUGUAAAUUAAGUCUCAGAUCAUGGACAAAAGGCAUAUACGAAUAUACAUAUAUUUCAAGUUGUUGGGUCGGCAGCACUCAC